rnacentral:lncRNA from 1 species
GCUCAAUGCACCCUAAAAGCACAGUUACACUUGCCGUGGUUUAAACUACUGUUCUUAUGUCCUGAAAAGCUCAAAAACGAUUAUUUAGUAUUUCUGCAUUGCUUUCCAUCAGAACAGCCUCUACUUGUCAUGUUUUGAUGCCAGGCUAAUUUAAAACAGCUCAAUGCACCCUAAAAGCACAGUUACACUUGCCGUGGUUUAAACUAGUGUUCUUAUGUCCUGAAAAGCUCAAAAAAGAUGUUGUAGUGUUUCUGCAUUGGUUUCGAACAAUACAGCUUAAGAUGGUCAUGUUCUGAUGCCAGGCAACUUUAAAACAGCUCAAUACACCAUAAAAGCACAGUUACACUUGCCGUGGUUUAAACUAGUGUUCCUAUGUCCUGAAAAGCUCAAAAAAGAUGUUGUAGUGUUUCUGCAUUGGUUUCUAUGAGAUCAGCCUCUACUGGUCAUGUUCUGAUGCCAGGCAACUUUAAAACAGCUCAAUACACCAUAAAAGCACAGUUACACUUGCCGUGGUUUGAACUACUGUUCUUAUGUUCUAAAAAGCUCAAAAACGAUGUUUCACUGUUUCUGCAUUGGUUUUUAGGUAUACAGUUUGUAAUGGUCAUGUUCUGAUGCCAGGCAACUUUAAAACAGCUCAAUACACCAUAAAAGCACAGUUACACUUGCCGUGGUUUAAACUAGUGUUCUUAUGACCUGAAAAGCUCAAAAACAAUGUUUUAGUGUUUCUGCAUUGCUUUCCAUCAGAACAGCCUGUACUGGUCAUGAUUUGAUGCCAGGCAUCUUUAAAACAGCUCAAUACACCCUAAAAGAACAGUUGCAGAUGCCAAGGUUUAAACUAGUUUUCUCCUGGCCUGACAAGCUCAAAAACGAUGUUUUAGUGUUUCUGCAUUGGUUUCCUGCAGAACAGCCUCCAAUGGUCAUGUUCUGAUUCCAGAAUACUGUCAAAAAGCCUAAUGUAUCCUAAAUGUACUGUUGCAUAGGCCGUGGUUUAAACUAGUGUUUCUAAAUCCUGAAAAGCUCAAAA